rnacentral:lncRNA from 1 species
CAUUAUUGACAUCCUUAAGAUUCAAAUUAUUUUGCUUUAACCUAGGUUUUUUUUUCCUUUCUCGGUGAAGUUAGUAGACCCUUGCUUAUUGAUUGGUAUAUGAAAUUGGAUCAUUUUAUUGUUGUGAGAGGUUCUCUUUUAUUGAGUAUCAGAAUAUCACUUUCAUACAUUUUUUGGAGCUAAUUUUGAGGGUUUUGCUUGUGUUUUGUGAAAUACUAUCUGUAGUCAUCUAAUGAAACAAUGCUGUUUUUCUAUUACAAAGCUUUCUGUUCACGUGUCUACAUUGGAAGUUACUGCAUUCAGAAUGAAAGCCAUACAUCUGACCUCAAGAUGAGGAAAAUGGAAGAAGCAGAGAUACUUUUAGUGAAACAGAAUAAACCACUGAACAGGAAAAAUGAGGAAGCCGUGAGUACCAGUGGAAGGAACGAGCCAGGAAGAGGGACUGGAACCGUCUCAGAAGCCGUUCCCCUCAGCCUGGAACUUGCCCUGUCUCCUCGCAGAUGAGUCUCUUCUUACCGCCAGCUACCUCUUGUGUUUAAGAAUUUAAGGAAGAUGAGCUAGGAAUCAAGAAAUACCCAGAACUGAUUCCUGUCACUGGCCCCACCCUGCCACUUGCCCAGAGCUGUGGUAUAAAUUUUUUUAAUAGGCUGAAAUAAAGAUAUGAAUAGUAUUUUGGUAUUAAGCA